GUUGAACCCGAAUGUGUGGAAGGCGCUCC
rnacentral:piRNA from 1 species